rnacentral:sRNA from 1 species
GUCAAAGGCAGCAAAUAGACUGAAUGAAAGAUGAGCUUCUGCCUUUAUAUCCUUCUCUCCUGCUACCCAACUCAUUGUGGUGAAGGAAAAAGAAAACGCGGGUGGAGACUGCACUAUAUGCUUAGGACUGAAAUGCAACUGCAGAAGCAACAUGUGACCUUUUAGAGAUGCUUGUGGGACUGCAUAAAGUGAAGAGGGAAACUGGAAAAAAACAAUGAAGUAAGGAAAAACAUUUAUCACCAUCCAGCCACUGUAGAUAAAUUUGAUUGGCUGUCUCCCUGCCUUCCCUUCACACCCAGUACCUUCCCUGCCUGAAAUCCUCAUUGAGGGCAAGAACUUUAUCCCCAGGAUCUAAACCAGUGCUGGACAAUAGAUGCUCAGCUAAUCCCGAACUCCUGGCCUCAAAUGAUCUUCCUACCUUGGCUUCCCAAAGUGCUGGGAUUACAGAUGUGAGCUGCUGUGCCUGGCCAAGACUUAAUUUUGAAUGACAUUGGGACUAUUGCCAAAAAUCAAAUCCAUCUU